UACGUAGGGAGCAAGCGUUGUCCGGAAUCAUUGGGCGUAAAGCGCGCGUAGGCGGUCAGGUAAGUCCGGUGUGAAAGUCAAAGGCUCAACCUUUGAAUGCCGCUGGAUACUGCUUGACUUGAGUCCGGAAGGGGCGAGUGGAAUUCCUGGUGUAGCGGUGAAAUGCGCAGAUAUCAGGAGGAACACCAAUGGCGAAGGCAGCUCGCUGGAACGGUACUGACGCUGAGGCGCGAAAGCGUGGGGAGCGAACAGG
rnacentral:rRNA from 1 species